UACGAAGGGUGCAAGCGUUGUUCGGAAUUAUUGGGCGUAAAGCGCGCGCAGGCGGAUUAAUAAGUCAGAUGUGAAAUCUCAGGGCUCAACCCUGAAACUGCGUCUGAAACUAUUAGUCUAGAGUGUCGGAGGGGGUAGGGGAAUUUCACGUGUAGGGGUAAAAUCCGUAGAGAUGUGAAGGAACACCGGUGGCGAAGGCGCCUACCUGGACGACUACUGACGCUGAGGCGCGAAAGCGUGGGGAGCAAACAGG
rnacentral:rRNA from 1 species